GAUGAACGCUGGCGGCGUGCCUAAUACAUGCAAGUCGAGCGAACAGACGAGGAGCUUGCUCCUCUGACGUUAGCGGCGGACGGGUGAGUAACACGUGGAUAACCUACCUAUAAGACUGGGAUAACUUCGGGAAACCGGAGCUAAUACCGGAUAAUAUAUUGAACCGCAUGGUUCAAUAGUGAAAGACGGUUUUGCUGUCACUUAUAGAUGGAUCCGCGCCGCAUUAGCUAGUUGGUAAGGUAACGGCUUACCAAGGCAACGAUGCGUAGCCGACCUGAGAGGGUGAUCGGCCACACUGGAACUGAGACACGGUCCAGACUCCUAAGGGAGGCAGCAGUAGGGAAUCUGCCGCAAUGGGCGAAAGCUUGACGGAGCAACGCCGCGUGAGUGAUGAAGGUCUUCGGAUCGUAAAACUCUGUUAUUAGGGAAGAACAAAUGUGUAAGUAACUAUGCACGUCUUGACGGUACCUAAUCAGAAAGCCACGGCUAACUACGUG
rnacentral:rRNA from 1 species